rnacentral:rRNA from 1 species
UACGUAGGGUGCGAGCGUUGUCCGGAAUUAUUGGGCGUAAAGAGCUUGUAGGCGGUUUGUCGCGUCUGCUGUGAAAAUCCGGGGCUCAACCCCGGACUUGCAGUGGGUACGGGCAGACUAGAGUGUGGUAGGGGAGACUGGAAUUCCUGGUGUAGCGGUGAAAUGCGCAGAUAUCAGGAGGAACACCGAUGGCGAAGGCAGGUCUCUGGGCCACUACUGACGCUGAGACACGAAAGCGUGGGGAGCAAACAGG